rnacentral:rRNA from 1 species
GUCUUAAGCAUGCAAGUCGAGCGGGCUUAUUCGGGCAACUGGAUAAGUUAGCGGCGAACUGGUGAGUAACACGUAGGUAAUCUGCCGUAGAGUGGGGGAUAACCCAUGGAAACAUGGACUAAUACCGCAUAUACUCUUGCUACAUAAGUAGAGUAGAGGAAAGGAGCAAUCCGCUUUACGAUGAGCCUGCGGCCUAUUAGCCUGUUGGUGGGGUAACGGCCUACCAAAGCUACGAUAGGUAGCCGACCUGAGAGGGUGACCGGCCACAUUGGGACUGAGAUACGGCCCAGACUCCUACGGGAGGCAGCAGCUGAGAAUCUUCCACAAUGGACGAAAGUCUGAUGGAGCGACAUCGCGUGAGGGAUGAAGGCCUUCGGGUUGUAAACUCGGAAAUUAUCGAAGAAUGAGUGACAGUAGAUAAUGUAAGCCUCGGCUAACU